AAAUCAUUGUCAUCAUAUCAAUCAGCUUGCUACCUCUACUCCUUUCCCUUAGGAGCUGAUUGUAGGAGUCUCUCUGAGUGUACAUUAUCUUGUAAAUCAAAGACCCAACACUCGACCCUCAUCUCCUUCAAAAACCGUGAGUACAACAAGACACCAUGAAGAAUACACAAUCUUAGUUGCAUGUCCUUCUCCUUCAUCCCCACUCUUAGCCGCGAGUUCCUAGGGACGAAACACCCAUCAAGCCUCUUCCUUUCUCUUCCUCAUUGUUUCGGCAGGAUGCAGCAGCCAAAGGGAGUACAUCGUGAAAUCAUCAACCGUCUUCUUUCCCUUGUUCGACCGUGGGUCAAUCCCAAGGAGGUGUGCUAAACUCUAAUUGUGAGGGCUGAUUGGUGAUGUUUAAAAAGAGAAUGUUAAAGACUUGAGGAGGACUUAAAAGCUUUUGAGGACUUGGAUAUUUGUUGUUGGCUUCUACUGUUUUGGGCAUGCUGCUAUUGAUGUGAUAUUUUAUGGAUGACUGUAUGAAAUUGAGAAGCUUUUAUUACUGUGAACUAUGAUUUUAUUAUUGCAUUAUGAUUUUAUGACCAGCAAGUAUUUUGGAAACAGAUGUUGAAACG